rnacentral:rRNA from 1 species
UACGUAGGUGGCAAGCGUUGUCCGGAAUUAUUGGGCGUAAAGCGCACGUAGGCGGCUUGUUAAGUCGGAUGUGAAAGCCCCAGGCUCAACCUGGGAAGUGCAUUCGAAACUGGCGAGCUUGAAUGUCGGAGAGGGCAGUGGAAUUCCGAGUGUAGAGGUGAAAUUCGUAGAUAUUCGGAGGAACACCAGUGGCGAAGGCGACUGCCUGGACGAACAUUGACGCUGAGGUGCGAAAGCUAGGGGAGCAAACGGG